GAAUGGGGAAACCCACCCGCUUGCGGGUAUCCUGCAGUGAAUACAUAGCUGCUGGAAGCGAACCUGGUGAACUGAAAUAUCUAAGUAACCAGAGGAAAAAGAAAUCAACCGAGAUUCCGUAAGUAGCGACGAGCGAACGCGGACUAGCCCUUAAGCUGAUUUGGUUCUAGGAAAACACUCUGGAAAGAGUGGCCAUAGAAGGUGAUAGCCCUGUAUCUGAAAGGGCCAUUUCAGUGAAGACGAGUAGGGCGGGGCACGUGAAACCCUGUCUGAACAUGGGGGGACCAUCCUCCAAGGCUAAAUACUACUGACCGACCGAUAGUGAACCAGUACCGUGAGGGAAAGGCGAAAAGAACCCCGGAGAGGGGAGUGAAAUAGAACCUGAAACCGUGUGCGUACAAGCAGUAGGAGCUCCGCAAGGAGUGACUGCGUACCUUUUGUAUAAUGGGUCAGCGACUUACUGUUCGUGGCAAGCUUAACCGUAUAGGGGAGGCGAAGGGAAACCGAGUCUGAUAAGGGCGCAUAGUCGCGGGC
rnacentral:rRNA from 1 species